rnacentral:rRNA from 1 species
UGGGGAAUAUUGCACAAUGGGCGAAAGCCUGAUGCAGCGACGCCGCGUGAGUGAAGAAGUAUUUCGGUAUGUAAAGCUCUAUCAGCAGGGAAGAAAAUGACGGUACCUGACUAAGAAGCCCCGGCUAACUACGUGCCAGCAGCCGCGGUAAUACGUAGGGGGCAAGCGUUAUCCGGAUUUACUGGGUGUAAAGGGAGCGUAGACGGCGAAGCAAGUCUGAAGUGAAAACCCAGGGCUCAACCCUGGGACUGCUUUGGAAACUGUUUUGCUAGAGUGUCGGAGAGGUAAGUGGAAUUCCUAGUGUAGCGGUGAAAUGCGUAGAUAUUAGGAGGAACACGAGUGGCGAAGGCGGCUUACUGGACAAUAACUGACGUUGAGGCUCGAAAGCGUGGGGAGCAAACAGG